AGAGUUUGAUCCUGGCUCAGGAUGAACGCUGGCGGCGUGCCUAACACAUGCAAGUCGAGCGAGAUAUCCAUGACGAAUUCUUCGGAUGCCUGAAUGGAUGGAAAGCGGCGGACGGGUGAGUAACGCGUAGGUAACCUGCCCUGUACAAAGGGAUAGCCACUGGAAACGGUGAUUAAUACCUUAUGACACCGCAGCAUCACAUGGUGAAGCGGUCAAAGAUUUUAUCGGUACAGGAUGGACCUGCGUCUGAUUAGUUAGUUGGCGGGGUAACGGCCCACCAAGGCGACGAUCAGUAGCCGACCUGAGAGGGUGAUCGGCCACAUUGGAACUGAGACACGGUCCAAACUCCUACGGGAGGCAGCAGUGGGGAAUAUUGCACAAUGGGCGCAAGCCUGAUGCAGCAACGCCGCGUGAACGAAGAAGGCCUUUGGGUCGUAAAGUUCUGUUCUGAGGGAAGAAGAAAGUGACGGUACCUCAGGAGAAAGCCCCGGCUAACUACGUGCCAGCAGCCGCGGUAAUACGUAGGGGGCGAGCGUUGUCCGGAAUUACUGGGCGUAAAGAGUACGUAGGCGGUCCUGUAAGCGUAUGGUGAAAGGCAUCGGCUUAACCAGUGUCAGCCGUGCGAACUGCAGGACUUGAGUGCGGGAGAGGAAAGCGGAAUUCCUGGUGUAGCGGUGAAAUGCGUAGAGAUCAGGAGGAACACCGGUGGCGAAGGCGGCUUUCUGGACCGUAACUGACGCUGAGGUACGAAAGCGUGGGGAGCAGACAGGAUUAGAUACCCUGGUAGUCCACGCCGUAAACGAUGAGUAUUAGGUGUCGGGUCCGCAGGGAUUCGGUGCCGCAGUUAACGCAAUAAAUACUCCGCCUGGGGAGUACGCACGCAAGUGUAAAACUCAAAGGAAUUGACGGGGACCCGCACAAGCAGCGGAGCAUGUGGUUUAAUUCGAAGCAACGCGAAGAACCUUACCAGGUCUUGACAUCCUCUUGAAAGCCGGGGUAACGCCCGGCCCUCUACGGACAAGAGAGACAGGUGGUGCAUGGUUGUCGUCAGCUCGUGUCGUGAGAUGUUGGGUUAAGUCCCGCAACGAGCGCAACCCUUGCCUUUAGUUGCCAUCGGUUCGGCCGGGCACUCUAGAGGGACUGCCGGGGACAACUCGGAGGAAGGUGGGGAUGACGUCAAAUCAUCAUGCCCCUUAUGAUCUGGGCUACACACGUGCUACAAUGGCCGGUACAACAGGAAGCGAAGGAGCGAUCCGGAGCGAAACCCAAAAGCCGGUCCCAGUUCGGAUUGUAGGCUGCAACUCGCCUACAUGAAGUCGGAGUUGCUAGUAAUCGCGGAUCAGAACGCCGCGGUGAAUGCGUUCCCGGGUCUUGUACACACCGCCCGUCACACCAUGGAAGUUGGGGGUGCCCGAAGUUGGUUAAUCAAUCUACUACCUAAGGCAAAACCAAUGACUGGGGUGAAGUCGUAACAAGGUAACCGUA
rnacentral:rRNA from 1 species